AUGGAGUCCAACUCCAGCUUGACCAACACUCACCCGGUCUGUCCCCGCACCAGCUGGCUUAGGGCUCCCCAGCAGUGCUGGCUGUCGUGCCUUCUGUCGCUCCCAGUCAGCACGGCUCUGUUCUUUGCUUUUUGGGUUCCAGAGCGUUUGCUACAGGUUAUGGAGUGUUUCUCUUCUCUCUCUUCUUGUCCUCCAUGUUGCCUGUUGGCGCCUCGGUGGAGUUUCAGUGACCCAAAUGCAGACUGCUCUGCGUUGCCCAAGCGUGAUGCCAAGAGAAGAGGUAGGCACCAGAACAGGCUGCUGGAUAGGAGACUCUGCCGUCAGAUGGCGUUGCCUGUUCUUCUCUCCCCAGUUUGCAGAGUUGGAUGUGACCUCAGCACUGGAUAAGGGGUAAGUGAUUCCUCCAUCCUGACCAGAAGGUAAUCUCUACUUGUCUUGUGCUGUGUGGAACAGGUUGCAGUGGAGAAGUGCAGUUGUCCGGGGCGCUGCAAGGACUCUAUUGAGGCAUUUGGUGGACGCCGCAGGAACCCACAGCCAGAGGUGGAUGCCAAGAUGCACAUCUUCCUCUGUCUGGCAAGCUCUGCUGACCCCUGAGGUUUUUCCCACGCUUGCAGAGGUUGUAUGGGCUUGGUGUUGGUUGUUGCUUGUGCUCACCUUGCUGUCACCGGGUGUUCU
rnacentral:lncRNA from 7 species